rnacentral:lncRNA from 1 species
GCUAACAUCAAUGGGAGCUUCAACUAAAACCGAUGUAUACGCAUUUGGUGCAUUGAUCCUUGAAGUAACUUGUGGGAGAAGACCUGUAGAACCUAAUCUGCCGAUUGAGAAACAGCUUCUGGUGAAAUGGGUUUGUGAUUGCUGGAAAAGGAAAGAUUUAAUCAGUGCUCGAGAUCCCAAACUGAGUGGAGAAUUGAUACCUCAAAUCGAGAUGGUAUUGAAAUUAGGGUUGCUUUGCACGAAUCUUGUGCCGGAAUCGAGACCUGACAUGGUAAAAGUUGUGCAGUACCUUGACAGACAGGUUUCGUUGCCGGAUUUCUCACCAGAUUCACCGGGAAUUGGGAUUGUUACUCCGGUUUUGGUCGGAGGAAGCUCCACCGUGAU